rnacentral:rRNA from 1 species
GACGAACGCUGGCGGCGUGCCUAAUACAUGCAAGUCGAGCGAAUCAAUGGGAGCUUGCUCCCGUUGGUUAGCGGCGGACGGGUGAGUAACACGUGGGCAACCUGCCCUAAGGAGGGGAAUAACAGGCCGAAAGGUUUGCUAAUACCGCAUAACACUAUAGCUUCGCAUGAAGCCAUGGUUAAAGAUUUAUCGCCUUAGGAUGGGCCCGCGGCGCACUAGCUAGUUGGUUAGGUAACGGUUUACCAAGGCGACGAUGCGUAACCAACCUGAGAGAUGGUUCGACCAGCUUGGGACUGAGACACGUCCCAGACUAGUACGGGGGGCGGCAGUGGGGAAUAUUGGACAAUGGGGGAAAGCCUGAUCCACCAAUGCCGCGUGAGUGAAGAAGGCCUUCGGGUUGUAAAGCCCUUUCGAUGGUGACGAUGAUGACGAUACCCAUAGAAGAAGCCCCGGCAACCUUCGUGCCAGCAGCCGCCGUAAGAC